UCCAAAAUGCAGUUGUUGCAGCCUAGCUCAGUGCUUUCUGUGGUGGUGGGGCAGCCAGCAUAAAAUACGGAGCGUAGGGGUUGGUAAUGUUCUCUAGUUGUGCUGUGAUUGGCUUUGUGUUCUGUCACUCAUGGGGACACUACUUCACCGCAAAAUCUACGGGUAGAGCUCGAAAUGUCAAGCCCCUUGGGUGCUGCCAUAGAAUUACAUUAGAAAUGCCCAUCCAAAAAGUCUCAAGGUCAUUGGUUUAGACAAAAUUACAUCAAAUUGCGUUAAAUCUACCGUAGCUUUGAUUGGACUGAUUGGACAAACUUUCAAAAUCUUAGCUGGCAAGCUAGACAAGCAGUCAUCAUCAUGCAUCAAGUCGACAAUCUACUGACAAAUGCUUAUCAAUCCUUGUCAUAUGAAAUUAUAGAUGUUACGCACGCCUCUAUGAAGAGGGAAUGCAGCAAACACCCUGCUACAACUAAACUCUCCGUGAAGUGAAAAAGGAAUAAAGUCUCCAAAUCCACCUCUGACACAAGAGACACAGCAGAUGAUGGACAGGGAAACUCUAGUCCAGUGUUUGACAACAUCUCAGGCAUGGCAAUGAACUCUACUGCAGUACAGACAGCGGUCACAGAUGACCAGGAUGAUGUUCACUACGCCAGCGUCCACUUCUCUCGCUCCAAAAACCAGGAAGUGCCUCUGUACUCCACCGUCCAAGUGCUUCAGCCCCAGAAAGAGGAUGAGGAUGUCCAGUACGAUGCUGUGAAAUUCAACCUCCCCAGUGCUGCCACCUGACCCGCAGCAGCACAAGCAGCUGAGGAGGACUCCUCUGUUCUCUACAGUACAGUCAAUAAACCCUGAACCAAGAAGACCCAAACACAACAAACCCAGAACCAAGAAGACCUGAACGCAACAAACCCAGAACCAAGAAGACCCAAACACAACAAACUCAGAACCAAGAAGACCCAAACACAACAAACCCAGAACCAAGAAGACCCAAACACAACAAACUCAGAACCAAGAAGACCCAAACACAACAAACCCAGAACCAAGAAGACCCGAACACAACAAACCCAGAACCAAGAAGACCUGAACAGAACAAGUUUGACAAUAGCCUUGUGUAUCUGGACCUGUAUAUCUAAACUAAGUGAUAUAAUGGCUGUGGAGGUGUGGAAUAUUGACCUUUAUAAACUGGGUGGUUUGAGCUGUGAAUGCUGAUUAACUGACAGGCGUGGUAUACCAGAC